UUCACCUGACCAUAGAUAUAGUAAUGGGUCUUUAUGAGAUGGAGACUUCUUUUUCAUUUAGUAAAAUGUCCCUUGUUUUCGUUCUAUUUUCAUCAAGAAUCUCCCUUUUAUUUUCUCUUAUGGGAGAAAAGAAUAUUCACUAAUCACUACUAUAUUUUAGACUUUUAAUAACAUUUAUCUUGUAAUAUUUAUUAAAAUAUUAAUAAUUAUUAUAAAAUUAAAUAUUAAGUAACAUUUAUACUCAAGUGUUAGUAAAUAUCUUUAAUUUUUUGAAAAACUUAUAAAAAAGUGUUGCCUAUUCUCAACUACAUCUCAAAAUCCAAACACGUUUUUUCAUUCUCAGUUCCUCACUCUCGCUCUUAGUGCUCUGUAAUGGUGAAACCACCUCUCCAUCCUCCUGAAUUUCUCGCUCAACCUCUUCAAUCUGUCGCUCCCUUCAUCAAUUUCAUGGUUCACAAAUGAAAACCACAAAUCGAGUGCUCUACUCUGAAUCCGCCUCUUCAUUCUCUCAUUCUUUACUAUCAUCGAAGUCGCCGUCAUCGUCAUCGCCAUUGUGAUGAUAAGCAAGGAUAUCUCGAGUUCAAUCUGAAAUCUCUGCUCUAGGAUCUGAAUUGAAAACUUUCAAGCCAUGUGCAGGUCAAUACCAUUGGAAGAGCGCUCAUGCACAGUGAUAUUUGUGUUUGGUGGCUUGAGUAUUAGAAGUAUUAUGGGGUAUGUAUAUCUCAUGGUUCUGAUGUUUUUUAUUUUACUUCAUUUCUACCUUCAAUUUUGACAUUGUACUAUUUGUUGGGCUUCUUUUGGCUCCACCCCUCAUCCAAAGUUCGGGCUGGGAAUCAAUGUUCUAUUUAUUUGGUUUUUUUGGGAUUGCAUGGUAAAUAGAAAUAACUGAAUCUCAUACAGGUUUUCAGAUGCCUAUUAGUUCAAAGUAUUGAAGUCCUUCCAAUAAGUUUCUUGAGCUGUAAAUUUAAUUAAAAUCAUGGCUUGUUUUGUUGAGUUGAAAAUUGAAGGUUUUUGGUGUUUUAAGUUCUUGAAGGAGGUGAGGUGCAGUUAAAUGUUGGAUCUCUUUCAUGGUUAUUGUCACUUCUUUUGCCUUCAAUUGUCUCAGUCACAAGCGUCCAAGGUACCAUGACACAAUCAUGGAAAAGUUCUCUAAGGUAUUGAACAGCUCUUUGAAGGUACUGCAGCAUUGGGUUAGGUCCUUAUUCUUGAGUGGAAUAUCAUAGGAGUUUGCACCAAGUAUAACAACCCCUAAUUGUAACUACUGAGGAUAUGCGUGUGAGAGAGAAUGUGACAGACGAGGUGUGAUGUGUGUGCGCUGUAAUAUAGUUUGGGAAUGGACUUCUAUUUCAUGUUUUGUUUCUCAAAUGCAGGAGAUUGAUGCGUGAGCAUUUUAUCUAUCUUUUUCUAG